rnacentral:rRNA from 2 species
GGCAGGCUUAACACAUGCAAGUCGAGCGGGGAAAGGUAGCUUGCUACCUAACCUAGCGGCGGACGGGUGAGUAAUGCUUAGGAAUCUGCCUAUUAGUGGGGGACAACAUUCCGAAAGGAAUGCUAAUACCGCAUACGUCCUACGGGAGAAAGCAGGGGACCUUCGGGCCUUGCGCUAAUAGAUGAGCCUAAGUCGGAUUAGCUAGUUGGUGGGGUAAAGGCCUACCAAGGCGACGAUCUGUAGCGGGUCUGAGAGGAUGAUCCGCCACACUGGGACUGAGACACGGCCCAGACUCCUACGGGAGGCAGCAGUGGGGAAUAUUGGACAAUGGGGGGAACCCUGAUCCAGCCAUGCCGCGUGUGUGAAGAAGGCCUUUUGGUUGUAAAGCACUUUAAGCGAGGAGGAGGCUACUAGUAUUAAUACUACUGGAUAGUGGACGUUACUCGCAGAAUAAGCACCGGCUAACUCUGUGCCAGCAGCC